CUGCUGCCACGGCUGCAAAUGGGACCCAGCGAGCCACGAGAGGAGGAGCUUUCUGCAAAAGAAAUCAUCAUAAACACCAAUAAACUCCCAGGUGAUUCAUAUCACAUACUGAAUUAUCUCCCAUAACUGUUUUCCAUCAUCCAAUCCCGGCACUACGUUUACUGGUGGUGAUGAGUGUGACAGCAAAUGCGCAACGCGAAUCGACCAACUCUGUGCUCUACUAACCAGCCCGAGAUCACGUGACGCCAAGUCGCUGAUGUAAAUUCGUAUUCUCAUAGAAAAUAAUUGUAUUCACAAACUGUUAUAGCAUAUUGUAUUCAUACAGAAUAAACCACAACUGUAAACUUGAA